UUUGUGAAGAGUUUGAUCCUGGCUCAGGAUUAACGCUGGCGGCGUGCCUAAUACAUGCAAGUCGAACGGCAGCGAGUUCCUCACCGAGGUUCGGAAUAGGUUAUAGGGAAUAGGUUCUAGGUUCUAGAUUUUUCUAGCACCUAACACCUAAAACCUAGCAUCUGAUAUUCCGAGCUUGGGUGAGGAAUGUCGGCGAGUGGCGGACGGCAGAGUAACGCGUAGGAACGUACCCCGAAGUGAGGGAUAAGCUCCGGAAACGGAGUCUAAUACCGCAUAAUCUCUUAGGAGCAAAGCUUUCGCGCUUUGGGAGCGGCCUGCGUCCGAUUAGCUUGUUGGUGUGGUAAAAGCGCACCAAGGCGACGAUCGGUAGCUGGUCUGAGAGGAUGAU
rfam:Candidatus Saccharibacteria bacterium RIFCSPLOWO2_01_FTLL_49_22 rifcsplowo2_01_scaffold_8064, whole genome shotgun sequence.